rnacentral:rRNA from 1 species
AGUGAACGCUGGCGGUAGGCCUAACACAUGCAAGUCGAACGGCAGCACAGGAGAGCUUGCUCUCUGGGUGGCGAGUGGCGGACGGGUGAGGAAUACAUCGGAAUCUACUCUGUCGUGGGGGAUAACGUAGGGAAACUUACGCUAAUACCGCAUACGACCUACGGGUGAAAGCAGGGGACCUUCGGGCCUUGCGCGAUUGAAUGAGCCGAUGUCGGAUUAGCUAGUUGGCGGGGUAAAGGCCCACCAAGGCGACGAUCCGUAGCUGGUCUGAGGGGAUGAUCCGCCACACCGGAACUGAGACACGGUCCAGACUCCUACGGGAGGCAGCAGUGGGGAAUAUUGGACAAUGGGCGCAAGCCUGAUCCAGCCAUACCGCGUGGGUGAAGAAGGCCUUCGGGUUGUAAAGCCCUUUUGUUGGGAAAGAAAUCCAGCUGGCUAAUACCCGGUUGGGAUGACGGUACCCAAAGAAUAAGCACCGGCUAACUUCGUGCCAGCAGCCGCGGUAAAAC